UUGUUGGUAAGGUAAAAGCUUACCAAGGCUUCGAUCAGUAGCUGGUCUGAGAGGACGGCCAGCCUCACUGGGACUGAGACACGGCCCAGACUCCUACGGGAGGCAGCAGUGGGGAAUUUUGGACAAUGGGGGCAACCCUGAUCCAGCCAUGCCGCAUGAGUGAAGAAGGCCUUCGGGUUGUAAAGCUCUUUCAGCCGGAACGAAACGGUUACGGUUAAUACCCGUGACUACUGACGGUACCGGAAGAAGAAGCACCGGCUAACUACGUGCCAGCAGCCGCGGUAAUACGUAGGGUGCGAGCGUUAAUCGGAAUUACUGGGCGUAAAGCGUGCGCAGGUGGUUUUGUAAGUCAGAUGUGAAAGCCCCGGGCUCAACCUGGGAACUGCGUUUGAAACUACAAGACUAGAGUGUGGCAGAGGGGGGUGGAAUUCCGCGUGUAGCAGUGAAAUGCGUAGAGAUGUGGAGGAACACCGAUGGCGAAGGCAGCCCCCUGGGUCAACACUGACGCUCAGGCACGAAAGCAUGGGGAGCAAACAGGAUUAGAUACCCUGGUAGUCCAUGCCCUAAACGAUGUCAACUAGUUGUCGGGCCUUUACGGGCUUGGUAACGUAGCUAACGCGUGAAGUUGACCGCCUGGGGAGUACGAUCGCAAGAUUAAAACUCAAAUGAAUUGACGGGGACCCGCACAAGCGGUGGAUUAUGUGGAUUAAUUCGAUGCAACGCGAAAAACCUUACCUACCCUUGACAUGUAUCGAAGCCCGCAGAAAAGCGGGGGUGCCCGAAAGGGAACGAUAACACAGGUGCUGCAUGGCUGUCGUCAGCUCGUGUCGUGAGAUGUUGGGUUAAGUCCCGCAACGAGCGCAACCCUUGUCAUUAAUUGCCAUCAUUUAGUUGGGCACUUUAAUGAGACUGCCGG
rnacentral:rRNA from 1 species